GCGUCGAUGGCUUGAGAUUAAGACAAUGAGCCAUAUGGAAGUUAAGAGCAAGCCAUGAGAAACACCUUAACCCUUGAACCCAAUACCCUAAAGCACACAACAGAACCGUUUGUCCUUUUUCAUCUCUACCCACUUUUUUAACCAGCGUCGUUUCACCAUCGCCAUUGUUGUUUCUCCUUCUAACCAGCGAGACACUACUAGUCAAUGAUGUUGUAGACCUUUUGUUGGAUUUCACGACAAGGGUUUUGCUUUGAUGCUUCUGUUUCUUGUUAAUGGUGGUGUUUAAGCUUAUUCUGUACGGAAUUGGUGGUUUAAAGAACUUUACUGGGUUUGAGAUUGAUAAUAAUGGAUUGUUCAUGAUUCUGUAAUGACUUCUUUAAGCUUUGUUAUUAUUAUUUUUGUCUUAGGGAUUCAAAAUCUGGAGAAAAAAAUUAAGAGAUGGAACAGAGAGAAAAGAGGAGAAAUU